rnacentral:rRNA from 1 species
GAGUUUGAUCAUGGCUCAGGAUUAACGCUGGCGGCGUGCCUAACACAUGCAAGUCGAGCGGCAGCGAGUUUUACACUGAAUUCUGGAAGCUUCUAGUUGAAAGAGAAGAUUUAUUCAAGAAUUUUGUGUAAAAUGUCGGCGAGCGGCGGACGGCUGAGUAACGCGUGGGAACGUACCCCAAAGUGAGGGAUAACGCAUCGAAAGGUGUGCUAAUACCGCAUAUGGUCUUCGGAUUAAAGCCUUCGGGCGCUUUGGGAACGGCCUGCGUAAGAUUAGAUAGUUGGUGGGGUAAUGGCCUACCAAGUCGACGAUCUUUAACUGGUUUGAGAGGAUGAUCAGUCAGACUGGAACUGAGACACGGUCCAGACUCCUACGGGAGGCAGCAGUGAGGAAUCUUCCACAAUGGGCGAAAGCCUGAUGGAGCAACGCCGCGUGCAGGAUGAAGGCCUUCGGGUUGUAAACUGCUUUUAUAAGUGAUGAUUAUGGCAGUAACUUAUGAAUAAGGAUCGGCUAACUACGUGCCAGCAGCCGCGGUCAUACGUAGGAUCCGAGCGUUAUCCGGAGUGACUGGGCGUAAAGAGUUGCGUAGGUGGUUUAAUAAGCGAAUAGUGAAAUCUGGUGGCUCAACCAUUCAGACUAUUAUUCGAACUGUUGAACUCGAGAGCAGAAGAGGUAGCUGGAAUUUCUAGUGUAGGAGUGAAAUCCGUAGAUAUUAGAAGGAACACCGAUGGCGUAGGCAGGCUACUGGGCUGUUUCUGACACUGAGGCACGAAAGCGUGGGGAGCGAACCGGAUUAGAUACCCGGGUAGUCCACGCCGUAAACGAUGGAUACUAGCUGUUUGGGGUAUCGACCCCCUGAGUAGCGAAGCUAACGCGUUAAGUAUCCCGCCUGUGGAGUACGAUCGCAAGAUUAAAACAUAAAGGAAUUGACGGGGACCCGCACAGGCGGUGGAUCAUGUUCUUUAAUUCGAUGAUAACCGAUAAACCUUACCAGGUCUUGACAUCCUUGGAAUCUUUCAGAAAUGAGAGGGUGCUUUUUAAGAGCCAAGUGACAGGUGAUGCAUGGCCGUCGUCAGCUCGUGUCGUGAGAUGUUUGGUUAAGUCCAUCAACGAGCGCAACCCUUGUCAGUAGUUGUAUUUUUCUACUGAGACUGCCCCGGUAACGGGGAGGAAGGAGGGGAUGACGUCAGGUCAGUAUUUCCCUUACGUCCUGGGCUAGAAACGUGAUACAAUGGCUAGUACAAUGCGCAGCGAAGCCGCGAGGUGAAGCAAAUCGCAUCAAAGCUAGUCCCAGUUCGGAUUGUAGGCUGAAACUCGCCUGCAUGAAGUCGGAAUCGCUAGUAAUCGCAGAUCAGCAUGCUGCGGUGAAUACGUUCCCGGGUCUUGUACACACCGCCCGUC